GUUUAGCCGACGAGUCUUAAAUAGGACGAAACGCGCGUCCUAAAU
rnacentral:hammerhead_ribozyme from 1 species